UUGUUUUGAAUUUGGUGAUCAAUUUCUUUGGCUGUAGAUUUAUCUGCGAUAGAGACAAAGGAUCCCAAGUGGUUCUUUUUAUGUCUGCAGGAUUGAAGUACCCGAAUGGAUAUUGAUUGAACUGGGCAAUGACUGCUGGGUAGUGGAAGGCCACUGGGAAGGUUUGGAGAAUCAAGUCCAGAGCGAUCUUCUAACGUUUAUUACCUUGCAGUCAGUUCCAGUAUGGUUCUAAGGAACCAGAUGAGAUGUCUGAGUUCCUGAAUUCAAUUCUAUGCAACCAGAUGAGUGCUCAUAUGCAAUCAAAAGAAUCUGGCUUAUGAAGUCUGUCAAACCUUGAUGAAGGUGGUACCUUUUGAGGACAAUGGAUCGUGCAGUGGGUCAGAUACUGACGUGGUCAAUACACGGUUUCAAGGUUCUCCGCAGUCUGAAAAGAUCAUUGACAGAAAGGCUUCUUUGCAGAACCCUGUCUCUUCUGGUGGUGCUGCUGAAGAAAUCUAUGAUUGUAGUCUCAAGGAAUCAAGCAAUCAUUUGAGCGCAGUUGCAAGUGGUGAGGUUAGAACUGGAAUCAGGAUAAGGCAUCUCCAACGGCAAAACCAACCAUGCAUGGAGAACUCUGUUACAUAGGUGGCACAGGGCACUGCUCCAAGAAGAAUGUGUUUGCUGUGUAAACCUCAAGUGCAGCCACUUACCUGCAUCCUGAUGUCGGAGAUACACAACAGGAGAUCACGAAUUAAAAGCAGUUGCUACAGAGGAAAGAAAUGGAGAUGCUUCAGAAAAGCAUGCUGUUGCUGGUGGUCAUGGUGCUGCUGAUGCUACUAGGUGCUUUAUGUAAACCCCGAAAGACCCUGAUUUUCUUGAAAUAAGUACCAGUAUGAUACCAAGCCUGAGGUUACAGGGCAACAUUUUGACAGGCAUUAAUGUCGUUUCUUUAUUUUUAAAGGCUCCUCCUCUUCAUCACUCAAACUCGUCACCUGCUCUUCUGUUCAGGGUAAUGGUGGUUGUAGUCUUGUUUAUGAUUUUUGCUAGCAUAUGGAGAUUUCUUAAAUUUUUAUUUCA